CCCUUAGAUGUUCUGGGCCGCACGCGCGCUACACUGAUGAAUUCAACGAGCACUAACCUGUGCCGAAAGGUUCGGGUAAUCUUGUGAAAUUUCAUCGUGAUGGGGAUUGAUUAUUGCAAUUUUUAAUCAUAAACGAGGAAUGCCUAGUAAGCGUGAGUCAUCAGCUCACGUUGAUUACGUCCCUGCCCUUUGUACACACCGCCCGUCGCUCCUACCGAUUGGGUGUGCUGGUGAAAUGUUCGGAUCGGCCGUUUGUCGCGGUUUCCGCGUCAUGUGGCUGAGAAGUUCAUUAAACCCUCCCACCUAGAGGAAGGAGAAGUCGUAACA
rnacentral:rRNA from 1 species